GCACAAGCAGCGGAGCGUGUGGUUUAAUUCGAUGUUACACGAAGAACCUUACCAGGGUUUGACAUAUAAGUAGUAGGGAACUGAAAAGGGACCGACCCUUCGGGAGCUUAAACAGGUGCUGCAUGGCUGUCGUCAGCUCGUGUCGUGAGAUGUUCGGUUAAGUCCGCUAACGAGCGCAACCCUCGCUGUGUGUUACAAGUGUCACACGGAACUGCCGGUCAUAAACCGGAGGAAGGUGGGGAUGACGUCAAGUCAGCAUGGCCUUUAUGUCCUGGGCUACACACACGCUACAAUGGCCAACACAAUAGGUUGCUAAGCCGCGAGGUGGAGCCAAUCCUCAAAGUUGGUCUCAGUUCAGAUUGCAGGCUGCAACCCGCCUGCAUGAAGAUGGAGUUGCUAGUAACCGCAGGUCAGCUAUACUGCGGUGAAUACGUUCCCGGGGUUU
rnacentral:rRNA from 1 species